UGCCGUGCCCUCAUGGGUAUGGCAAUUGGAAUGAGAACAAUUUAAAUCCCUUAUCAAGGAUCAAUUGGAGGGCAAGUCUGGUGCCAGCAGCCGCGGUAAUUCCAGCUCCAAUAGCAUAUAUUAAAGUUGUUGUAGUUAAAAAGCUCGUAGUUGGAUUUCUGGUGGGAGCAAUCAGUGUGACCUUAUGGUUUCAACUUGUAUUGUCUCUGGCCAUCUUUGGGGAGAGUCUGUCUGGCAUUAGGUUGUCGGGCAGUGGAUCUCCAUCUUUUACUGUGAAAAAAAUAGAGUGUUCAAAGCAGGCUUAUGCCAAUGAAUAUAUUAGCAUGGAAUAAUCAGAUAGGACCCUGGUACUAUUUGGUUGGUUUGUGUGCCAUGGUAAUGAUUAAUAGGGAUAGUUGUGGGUAUUUGUAUUGCGAUGUCAGAGGUGAAAUUCUUGGAUUUCCGCAAGACAGACAACUGCGAAAGCAUUUACCAAGGAUGUUUUCAUUAAUCAAGAACGAAAGUUAGGGG
rnacentral:rRNA from 1 species